CCCUUAGAUGUUCUGGGCCGCACACGCGCUACACUGAAGGAGGCAGCGUGUACUCCUGGAUCGAAAGAUUUGGGUAACCCGCGAAUCUCCUUCGUGCUAGGGAUUGAGGUUUGCAAUUAUCCUUCAUGAACGAGGAAUUCCCAGUAAGUGCAAGUCAUAAGCUUGCGCUGACUACGUCCCUGCCCUUUGUACACACCGCCCGUCGCUACUACCGAUUGAAUGAUUUAGUGAGGACUUCGGACUGGGACCGAUGCGGCUUUCGGGCUGCGUCGGUAUUCUGGAAAGAUGUCCAAACUGUAUCAUUUAGAGGAAGUAAAANUCGUAAC
rnacentral:rRNA from 1 species